rnacentral:rRNA from 1 species
AGCGAACGCUGGCGGCAGGCCUAACACAUGCAAGUCGAACGAACUCUUCGGAGUUAGUGGCGGACGGGUGAGUAACACGUGGGAACGUGCCUUUAGGUUCGGAAUAACUCAGGGAAACUUGUGCUAAUACCGAAUGUGCCCUUCGGGGGAAAGAUUUAUCGCCUUUAGAGCGGCCCGCGUCUGAUUAGCUAGUUGGUGAGGUAAAGGCUCACCAAGGCUACGAUCAGUAGCUGGUCUGAGAGGAUGACCAGCCACAUUGGGACUGAGACACGGCCCAAACUCCUACGGGAGGCAGCAGUGGGGAAUCUUGCGCAAUGGGCGAAAGCCUGACGCAGCCAUGCCGCGUGGAUGAUGAAGGUCUUAGGAUUGUAAAAUCCUUUCACCGGUGAAGAUAAUGACUGUAGCCGGAGAAGAAGCCCCGGCUAACUUCGUGCCAGCCGCCGCCGUAA